GUACCCGUAGCUCAGCGGAUUAGAGCGUCGGACUCCGACUCCGAAGGUCAGAGGUUCAAGUCCUCCCGGGUAUACCA
rnacentral:tRNA from 1 species